CAAUCGCCGCGGUAAUACGAAGGGUGCAAGCGUUACUCGGAAUUACUGGGCGUAAAGCGUGCGUAGGUGGUGGUUUAAGUCCGUUGUGAAAGCCCUGGGCUCAACCUGGGAAUUGCAGUGGAUACUGGGUCACUAGAGUGUGGUAGAGGAUAGUGGAAUUUCCGGUGUAGCAGUGAAAUGCGUAGAGAUCGGAGGGAACAUCUGUGGCGAAGGCGACUAUCUGGGCCAACACUGACACUGAGGCACGAAAGCGUGGGGAGCAAACAGGAUUAGAUACCCCCGUAGUCCCUGUCUCUUAUAC
rnacentral:rRNA from 1 species